UUUUUCAUGUAAAAAGUUGUCAAGUAUUGGAACAGGCUGCCCUGGGAAGUGGUUGAGUCAUCACCCCUAGAGGUAUUUAAAAGUGUAGGUG